UACGUAGGGGGCAAGCGUUGUCCGGAUUUAUUGGGCGUAAAGAGCGUGUAGGCGGCUUUGCAAGUCCGUUGUGAAAACUCGAGGCUCAACCUCGAGACGCCGGUGGAAACUGCAAAGCUAGAGUCCGGAAGAGGAGAGUGGAAUUCCUGGUGUAGCGGUGAAAUGCGCAGAUAUCAGGAGGAACACCGGUGGCGAAGGCGGGUCUCUGGGCCGAUACUGACGUGAGGAGCGAAAGCGUGGGGAGCGAACAGG
rnacentral:rRNA from 1 species